rnacentral:sRNA from 1 species
AACCUUUUCCACGGGUUCGGCUUUUGUGUUUUGCUUGAUGGCAAGCAAAAGCUAAGUCUGGGGGAGUUGAUAUAACCCUAUUUUUACUGCUUUUAGCUAUGAUUUAGGUAUAGGUUUUAGAGUCCUUUUGUUAUUUCUAGAGUCUUUUCUAGUCUUUUUCAGGUCUUUACAUGUUUGAUAUGCAUUUGGAGAUUAUAGAGCAUUCUGGAGCAAACCAGACAACUUAAGUUGCAGAUGCAGUUCGCAGACCAAAAUCCACGUAGGUGUCGAACGACACCACCCCUGGUGUCGAGCGACAUCAUUACUAUCUUACUUAGCUUAAUUCAAAACCUUGGUCUAUUGUGUGAUCCGAGAGCUUUGUGGAAUUCGACCCUUAAGUGCUACAAUUGAUCUCUUGUUUGAGAGAGUGGUCUUAAGGCAAUUUGACUUAUAUCAAAUUUGGCGCCGUUGCCGAAGUUCUCUACGAUUCACCAUUAGAUUAGGAUUAGAAUUUUGUCUAAGCUUUUAUUUUU